GUGGGGAAUAUUGGACAAUGGGCGCAAGCCUGAUCCAGCAAUGCCGCGUGCAGGAAGAAGGCCUUCGGGUUGUAAACUGCUUUUGUACGGAACGAAACGGUCCGGGUUAAUACCCUGGGCUAAUGACGGUACCGUAAGAAUAAGCACCGGCUAACUACGUGCCAGCAGCCGCGGUAAUACGUAGGGUGCAAGCGUUAAUCGGAAUUACUGGGCGUAAAGCGUGCGCAGGCGGUUUUGUAAGACAGGCGUGAAAUCCCCGGGCUCAACCUGGGAAUUGCGCUUGUGACUGCAAGGCUGGAGUGCGGCAGAGGGGGAUGGAAUUCCGCGUGUAGCAGUGAAAUGCGUAGAUAUGCGGAGGAACACCGAUGGCGAAGGCAAUCCCCUGGGCCUGCACUGACGCUCAUGCACGAAAGCGUGGGGAGCAAACAGGAUUAGAUACCCCGGUAGUCC
rnacentral:rRNA from 1 species